AAAGAAAAGUGGAUGUGGUCGGAUCAACCCGUUAGAGAGAGAGAGAGAGAGAGAGAGGGUGCAUGGAUUGGCUUGGCUCCACAUAUUUCGCCGGUACACGCCGUUGGCCGUACCCUGCUGCCCGCAAAAACCAGGUUGGAGUGAGCCGCCAAUUUAAAACCCCUCAAAUGGGGCAGCGCAGCGCAGCGCACGCCCGACCUUUUGUCUCAUGGAAACCUGCCACCCAUUGCCUCCUCUUUAGGUCGACAUGUCAACAGAAUUGAAGUCGAAAAAGUGGUCUGAAAAUGUGAAGACCGUUUGACCAAUGGUCAAGGAAUUGAAUUCAAAGACAUGCUGCAGCAGAGUCAGGAGUUGGGGAAGACCCAACAACAUGCGCAUUAUAAGAUAUACAGAAGCAAAAGUAUUGAAGCAGAGGCCCGACAACAAGGACGGAGACAGCCGUCUACUUGUGAGCCAGUUUUCCAUGUCUCUCAUAUUAAUGGUCAAAAUUUUGAAUCACGUUUUUUUUGGGUGAAUAAUUUUGAAUCAUGUUAAGAUGAUCAUAUUCUUAUAUAUUACAUUCAGCAUUAUAUUGAUUUACAAAUCUGAUCAAUUACGAUA